AUACAAAGCGCGGAUGUUUUGAAAUAUGUCAACCACUAUAGAGGUGGCAGUGAAAAGAUAAACGGCGCCAGAGGUGGUGAAAUCUAAAUGCAAUUACUUGGAGAGUGAAUGGGAAUAGUCUUGACUCAGCCUGUUUACCAGAUGCGAAGGUGUGGAUGGUUGGUGAAGUGACAGAGAAAAAGGAGAAAUGAACUCUAUACACCUAAUAUCUAAAAGAAUAUGGGAAGGUGCGCCAUUCACAGAAAGUAGACAUUAAAGAUGGAUAUGGAAGUUCAGGGCUGCACACACUCUGCUAAGAAUGAGAUUAUGGAGAGAAAUUUGAUUUGCUCUUUCAUCUCUAUCUGAGCUUCGUGCUCAGAGAGAUGUGGGUUUAUGAAUGUGCUAUAACAACAUACCCAGCACACCAAUACUUGAUUCCUCGCUGCAGUGCAGACUGUGAUUCAGAAGGGUGUAGUUCAGAUGUCUUAAAAGGGGCGAAGUGGGGAGAUUUUAAUCGACAGUCAGUCAGACAGCAGAGGCAACAACCUCAGCUAUGAAUUUCGGAAAAACUUUCUUGUCAGG